CUCCCGGUCCCAAUCGUGGUCGUAAGUCGAGCACGGGCUGUAUUGUCCUGUACCUAACUCAGACCAGAUGACACCUGAGAUGCAAGACUGUUAAAUCUUCAGUGAGGAAGGUUAAAUCUACCUUUCCCAAAAGAAAAAGACCACCUCGACUUACUAGAUCAUUUAAACAAUGCAUUAAACCUUACAUAGGAAGAUGCUGACAUUCUAUUAGGCUUUCCCAAGCUUCCUCUGUGUAAAGGAUCCCAAAAUUCACUUUGGAACACAGACUUCCCUUCUGUGGAACCUGGGCUUCCUGGACAGGCCUGUUCUCAAUCUUUGUGCUUGAAUCAACUCUGUUUAAGGUAGAUUCUGACCUUCUUCAGUCCUUUAGGUUAACACAGGUCUCUGGUGAAAUGCCUCCUUAUCGGAGAGGACAUCUCUGUCACCUCACCCUCAUACACUGCUCAGCCCCUCCCCUUGCUUUAUUUUCUCCAUGAUGCUUCCCUCACAUGGAUGUCCUUGUUGAGGGCCUGCUCCCUCUCCUUGGCUAGAAUGUAAGUUGCACAAAGCCAGGGACAUCAGCUUAAUUCGGUGCGGUGUCUCCAGGGCUUAGAGAAGCACCUGGCACACAGGAGGUUUUCAAUAAUUAAGAAAUUAAACCGCAAGGGCGGGAGUCGGCAGAAGUGCACUCUUUAUAACAGGUAUUGGUGUUUGGCUAUUCGUGCUAAGGAAGGCCAUGAAAGGUGAGUUCAAAUUUUGCUUCUGAUACACAUUGGCAGCAUCAGCUCUUCUUUCUCCAUAGCCACAAGUCCCACGCCCUACCUCUUUUCUUUCUCAGGGCUUUGGGAAGAUGAAAGAACGAUGUUAGGUAGAGAACAUGGGCUAUGGAAAGAGCCCGGAAUUGGAGAUUCUCUUACUGGUUUUCCCAGUCAUUCUCUAUGUGACCUCGGACAAAUGGCUCAGCCUCUGAAAUGGGUAGGGUUGGAAGUUAGGAUGGGUAAAUGAGAGUGAACUGGCAGUCUGGUGUCUGGAUGAGUUGCUCAGGCCCUCUCUGUUCUAAACAGCCUCGGAAUCUCUUUUAUCUUAGAAAUUUGUGCCUAGCUUGCAUUUUACCCUGUAAUUUGUCCACUACAACUUUUUUUAAAUGUUUCAAUUUAAAAGAAUAUGAUUUUAGAAAUACACGCCAAAACAGUUAUAGAUGAAACAAUAAGAAGUCUGAGACCUGAUUCACAAUAAUCCUGGCAGGGAGACAGUGUAGCUGGGGAAUGAGCACGCGGGAGUUUGUGACACCACUUUCUAUACUUCUGUAGAGCACUGAAAACACAAGUGAAAAUCGUUGCAGCCCUAAAAAAAA